UGGCUUUUCUUGUCUUCCUGUCAGUGAGCAGUUUGUAUUUCUUUGCGCACGUAUAGUGCAUUCUAGAAUAAACAAAUAGAAUUUAAAAUCUGCCUGUGCAAACAUAAAGCUGAAGGAAGUAACCAAUAUUCCCUGCUCAAACUUGCUGAGCCCUCCCUGCCAAGUCUCUCCGGGUAAAAGGGCCAAGGAGUGUUGGGUACAUGCUGGAACAACCAAAGAAGGUGACAAGAGGCUUCUCUGUGUUUCCAUCAAUGAAUCUGUUAAAUACACUCCAGCAGGAUUUAAUGCAGCCAGGUGGGACUGAAUGCACGACCUGGAAA